rnacentral:lncRNA from 1 species
UUUUAGGCCUGCUAGGUCUGUACACUAUACUUGUGGUUGAAAUGGACUUAUUAUUAUGAAAGUUCAAAGGGAUGAAAACAGAAAUUUGGAUACCAUUUUACCAAAAAGAGCCAGGAAAGACAACUCGUGCCACCACGGAAGUGGGAGGCAAAAGGAGAUGCCCAGUGAAACAAAGAAGAACAUGUCUACUGGUUCUACAGUGUAGGGGAUGUAUUUCCACACAAGAUCUCCAUGACAAAUCUCAACAAAUAUUGGCCUGUGUUGUUGAUGGAAUUGCACCACCUCCCAAUUCAUGUAUUGCUGUCCUACCCCUCCCGCCUGAUCACGUGAUUGUACCUGGAGCAAGGGCCUUUAAAGAGCUAACAACGUUGAAAAUCAGCUCACCAGGGUGGGUCCUAAGCCAAUAUGAUUAUGAAUGGGAACUUUGAACACAGAAUAUACAGAGGAAAGACUCUGUGAAGACUCAAAGUAAAAACAGCAACCUAUGAGCAAAGGAAUGAAGACUCAGAAAAUCAAUACUUUGAUUGGAGGAAUUAUGCCUAAAAGUUUUGAGAAUUGUGAGAACAUUUCUGUUAUUUCAGCCUCCCAAUUCGUACACUUGCUCAUUGAUGCUGGGCUUAUGAGUUAACACAACUAGGCAUGAAAAGAAUCAUGGACUGGGUUAUAGCUCAGUGGUAGAGUACUUACCUAGCAUGUACAAGGACCUGGGUUCGAUACUCUGUAACAACAGAAUAUUAAGAUUGGCUUAAAACUGUGUCAUGGCCAAUCUUCAUUGUCAUCUUGACAGGAUUUGGAAGCACUCCAAGGACACAACUUCGGUAUGGUAUGUCUGCAAAUGUGUUUCUAGAGAAGCUUAGGGGAGGGAGAGGGCUUACUCACCUUGACUCUGAGUGGACCAUUCCAUGGGCUAUAGUUUUAUAUUGAGUAAAAGGGGGGGAAAAGAAACCAAGAACACCAAUAUUUAUUUCUUACAGAUUCUUCACCUCAGACAAAAUGUGACCCACUUUAUGACUCCCCUGUUGCCUCCCAUGAUCGACUUAAUCCUGAAAGUUUUAGCCAAGACAACCCCUCCUUAUUUUCUUUUUGUCAUUUAUUUAAUCAUACCAAUAGAAAAAUAAUUACAUAAGGGUGAAUUAAAUUUUAGCCCAGGUUCCACAUCAGGCACCUUAAUCUGGCGUUUUCAAUGGUAUAGGUUAACUUUUGUCUUGUUUGUUUGUUUCUAAGGAUUGCUUUUCUAAUUGUCAAAUGAAUUUUGUUUCUUUUGUUGAUAUUCAUUUAGCAGCUGGGGCUCCAAUGCUCCAAACUCAGAUAAAACUUCUUUUCAAAUUCCGUUAGUAACCUGUUAUAUUUGUGCUGCAUAAUGGCUGUGUAGAGAUCCAAAAAUUGCCUCUGCUCCCAACCUCAUGCAUCUCAAAUAGAGAACAAGGGUGUCAAUUUAUCCUGGCUAUUUCAAUCUCUGAUUCCAAUGCAAAUUACUAUCCUACUGGUUCAAGCUCUUGUCUUCUUGCCUUGGCUAUUCUAAAGACUUCUAAUUAAUAUUCCAUAAUCUCUGUCUCUUAAUUCAUACAGAGUGUACCCUGAUUAUUG